GUUUACCAAAAACAUGGCUUCUUGUUCUGAAACAAAUAGGGAGUCGGACCUGCCCAGUGAAUUAUUUUUUAACGGCCGCGGUACUCUGACCGUGCAAAGGUAGCAUAAUCAUUUGCCUUAUAAUUGAAGGCUAGUAUGAAUGGUUUGACAAGAAUAUAGCUGUCUCUUUAUAAUUUUAUAGAAUUUUAUCUUAAGGUGAAGAAGCUUUAAUAAAAUUAAAAGACAAGAAGACCCUAUCGAGCUUGAAAGAAAUUUUUAGAAACUAGUUAAUAGGAGAUUUAAAAAAAUUAGCUACAAAACAUUUUAGUUGGGGCGACUAAGGAACAAACAAAGCUUCCUUUAAUAAAUAUAACAUUCAAGUAUGGAUCCAAAAAUUUUUGAUUAAAGGAAUUAGUUACCGUAGGGAUAACAGCAUUAUCUUUUUUGAGAGCUCUUAUCGAAAAAAAGGUUUGUGACCUCGAUGUUGGACCAGAAUAUCCUAAAGAUGCAGAAGUCUUUAAGGGUUGGUCUGUUCGACCAUUAAAAUUCUACGUGAUCUGAGUUCAGACCGG
rnacentral:rRNA from 1 species